rnacentral:rRNA from 1 species
UGCGGGGGGAGCAAGCGUUGUUCGGAUUUACUGGGCGUAAAGGGCGCGUAGGCGGUCAGCACAAGUCAGUUGUGAAAUCUCCGGGCUUAACUCGGAAAGGUCAACUGAUACUGUGCGACUAGAGUGCGGAAGGGGCAACUGGAAUUCUCGGUGUAGCGGUGAAAUGCGUAGAUAUCGAGAGGAACACCUGCGGCGAAGGCGGGUUGCUGGGCUGAUACUGACGCUGAGGCGCGAAAGCUAGGGGAGCGAACGGG